AGCUCCAAUAGCGUAUGCUAAAAUUGUUGCAGUUAAAAGGCUCGUAGUCGAAUAUAUGACCCUCGUUGAACCCGGCCCAUCCACCAGUUGGUUGCGUGCCGGUGUGCACGGGUCAUACUUCUGAAGAGCAUUACUGCCCUUGAUUGGGUUUGUAAUGUGAUUCAGAUCAUUUACUGUGAGUAAAUCAAAGUGUUCAAAGCAGGCUUUAUGCUUGUAUGGUUCAGCAUGGAAUAAUAAGAUAAGACUUCGGUUUUGUUUUGUUGGCUAUACGAACCAAAGUAAUGAUUGAAAGGGACAGUUGGGGGUGCUAGUAUUGGGUGGUUAGCGGUGAAAUGCGAGGACCCACUCAAGACUAACUUAUGCGAAAGCAUUCACCAAGGAUGUCUUCUUUGAUCAAGAA
rnacentral:rRNA from 1 species